rnacentral:rRNA from 1 species
UACGUAGGGUGCGAGCGUUGUCCGGAAUUAUUGGGCGUAAAGGGCUCGGUAGGCGGUCUGUCGCGUCCGGGAGUGAAAACUCAGGGCUUAACCCUGAGCCUGCUUCCGAUACGGGCAGACUAGAGGUAUGCAGGGGAGAACGGAAUUCCUGGUGUAGCGGUGAAAUGCGCAGAUAUCAGGAGGAACACCGGUGGCGAAGGCGGUUCUCUGGGCAUUACCUGACGCUGAGGAGCGAAAGUGUGGGAGGCGAAACAGG